GAUGAACGCUGGCGGCGUGCCUAAUACAUGCAAGUAGGACGCUGAAGGAGGAGCUUGCUCUUCUGGAUGAGUUGCGAACGGGUGAGUAACGCGUAGGUAACCUGCCUGGUAGCGGGGGAUAACUAUUGGAAACGAUAGCUAAUACCGCAUGACAACAGUUAUUGCAUGAUAACUGUUUAAAAGGGGCAACUGCUCCACUACCAGAUGGACCUGCGUUGUAUUAGCUAGUUGGUGAGGUAACGGCUCACCAAGGCGACGAUACAUAGCCGACCUGAGAGGGUGAUCGGCCACACUGGGACUGAGACACGGCCCAGACUCCUACGGGAGGCAGCAGUAGGGAAUCUUCGGCAAUGGACGGAAGUCUGACCGAGCAACGCCGCGUGAGUGAAGAAGGUUUUCGGAUCGUAAAGCUCUGUUGUAAGAGAAGAACGAGUGUGAGAGUGGAAAGUUCACACUGUGACGGUAUCUUACCAGAAAGGGACGGCUAACUACGUG
rnacentral:rRNA from 1 species